GGGGGACAGCCCUAGAGAUCUGACUGUCCAUGGUCUAUGAGGUCAGAUGUGUUAAUAUCAUGUGGUGUAUUGUAGGUAAGCUGAUGGCAGGUGUGUUAAUAUCGUGGUGUAUUGUAGGUAAGCUGAUGUUAGGUGUGUUAAUAUAAUAGUGUAUUGUUGGUAAGCUGAUGUUAGGUGUGUUAAUAUUGUGGUGUAUUGUAGGACAGGUGUGUUAAUAUAAUAGUGUAUUGUAGGUAAGCUGAUGUUAGGUGUGUUAAUAUAAUAGUGUAUUGUUGGUAAGCUGAUGUCAGGUGUGUUAAUAUUGUGGUGUAUUGUAGGUAAGCUGAUGUUAGGUGUGUUAAUAUCGUGGUGUAUUGUAGGUAAGCUGAUGUCAGGUGUGUUAAUAUCGUGGUGUAUUGUUGGACAGGUGUGUUAAUAUAAUAGUGUAUUGUAGGUAAGCUGAUGUUAGGUGUGUUAAUAUCGUGGUGUAUUGUAGGUAAGCUGAUGUCAGGUGUGUUAAUAUCGUGGUGUAUUGUUGGUAAGCUGAUGUCAGGUGUGUUAAUAUCGUGGUGUAUUGUUGGACAGGUGUGUUAAUAUAAUAGUGUAUUGUAGGUAAGCUGAUGUCAGGUGUGUUAAUAUAAUAGUGUAUUGUAGGUAAGCUGAUGUCAGGUGUGUUAAUAUAAUAGUGUAUUGUAGGUAAGCUGAUGUCAGGUGUGUUAAUAUCGUGGUGUAUUGUAGGUAAGCUGAUGUCAGGUGUGUUAAUAUCGUGGUGUAUUGUAGGUAAGCUGAUGGCAGGUGUGUUAAUAUCGUGGUGUAUUGUUGGUAAGCUGAUGUCAGGUGUGUUAAUAUC